UACAGUGCUCUAUUCAGAUUGGUGCCUGCCACAUGAAAUACAUAUGACUGGCACCAUACUGGAUAAUGUAAUGUUCA
rnacentral:pre_miRNA from 1 species